rnacentral:tRNA from 1 species
GCCGUGAUAGUAUAGUGGUCAGUACAUUGCGCGUGGCCGCAAUAACCCUGGUUCAAAUCCUGGUCACGGCC